rnacentral:rRNA from 1 species
GGGUUGUGAGGUUAAGCGACUAAGCGUACACGGUGGAUGCCCUGGCAGUCAGAGGCGAUGAAGGACGUGCUAAUCUGCGAUAAGCGUCGGUGAGGUGAUAUGAACCGUUAUAACCGGCGAUUUCCGAAUGGGGAAACCCAGUGUGUUUCGACACACUAUCAUUAACUGAAUCCAUAGGUUAAUGAGGCGAACCGGGGGAACUGAAACAUCUAAGUACCCCGAGGAAAAGAAAUCAACCGAGAUUCCCCCAGUAGCGGCGAGCGAACGGGGAGGAGCCCAGAGCCUGAAUCAGUGUGUGUGUUAGUGGAAGCGUCUGGAAAGGCGUGCGAUACAGGGUGACAGCCCCGUACACAAAAAUGCACAUAUUGUGAGCUCGAUGAGUAGGGCGGGACACGUGGUAUCCUGUCUGAAUAUGGGGGGACCAUCCUCCAAGGCUAAAUACUCCUGACUGACCGAUAGUGAACCAGUACCGUGAGGGAAAGGCGAAAAGAACCCCGGCGAGGGGAGUGAAAAAGAACCUGAAACCGUGUACGUACAAGCAGUGGGAGCCUCUUAAUGGGGUGACUGCGUACCUUUUGUAUAAUGGGUCAGCGACUUAUAUUCUGUAGCAAGGUUAACCGAAUAGGGGAGCCGAAGGGAAACCGAGUCUUAACUGGGCGUUAAGUUGCAGGGUAUAGACCCGAAACCCGGUGAUCUAGCCAUGGGCAGGUUGAAGGUUGGGUAACACUAACUGGAGGACCGAACCGACUAAUGUUGAAAAAUUAGCGGAUGACUUGUGGCUGGGGGUGAAAGGCCAAUCAAACCGGGAGAUAGCUGGUUCUCCCCGAAAGCUAUUUAGGUAGCGCCUCGUGAAUUCAUCUCCGGGGGUAGAGCACUGUUUCGGCAAGGGGGUCAUCCCGACUUACCAACCCGAUGCAAACUGCGAAUACCGGAGAAUGUUAUCACGGGAGACACACGGCGGGUGCUAACGUCCGUCGUGAAGAGGGAAACAACCCAGACCGCCAGCUAAGGUCCCAAAGUCAUGGUUAAGUGGGAAACGAUGUGGGAAGGCCCAGACAGCCAGGAUGUUGGCUUAGAAGCAGCCAUCAUUUAAAGAAAGCGUAAUAGCUCACUGGUCGAGUCGGCCUGCGCGGAAGAUGUAACGGGGCUAAACCAUGCACCGAAGCUGCGGCAGCGACACUAUGUGUUGUUGGGUAGGGGAGCGUUCUGUAAGCCUGUGAAGGUGGCCUGUGAGGGUUGCUGGAGGUAUCAGAAGUGCGAAUGCUGACAUAAGUAACGAUAAAGCGGGUGAAAAGCCCGCUCGCCGGAAGACCAAGGGUUCCUGUCCAACGUUAAUCGGGGCAGGGUGAGUCGACCCCUAAGGCGAGGCCGAAAGGCGUAGUCGAUGGGAAACAGGUUAAUAUUCCUGUACUUGGUGUUACUGCGAAGGGGGGACGGAGAAGGCUAUGUUGGCCGGGCGACGGUUGUCCCGGUUUAAGCGUGUAGGCUGGUUUUCCAGGCAAAUCCGGAAAACCAAGGCUGAGGCGUGAUGACGAGGCACUACGGUGCUGAAGYGACAAAUGCCCUGCUUCCAGGAAAAGCCYCUAAGCAUCAGGUAACAUCAAAUCGUACCCMAAACCGACACAGGUGGUCAGGUAGAGAAUACCAAGGCGCUUGAGAGAACUCGGGUGAAGGAACUAGGCAAAAUGGUGCCGUAACUUCGGGAGAAGGCACGCUGAUAUGUAGGUGAAGCGACUUGCUCGUGGAGCUGAAAUCAGUCGAAGAUACCAGCUGGCUGCAACUGUUUAUUAAAAACACAGCACUGUGCAAACACGAAAGUGGACGUAUACGGUGUGACGCCUGCCCGGUGCCGGAAGGUUAAUUGAUGGGGUUAGCGGUAACGCGAAGCUCUUGAUCGAAGCCCCGGUAAACGGCGGCCGUAACUAUAACGGUCCUAAGGUAGCGAAAUUCCUUGUCGGGUAAGUUCCGACCUGCACGAAUGGCGUAAUGAUGGCCAGGCUGUCUCCACCCGAGACUCAGUGAAAUUGAACUCGCUGUGAAGAUGCAGUGUACCCGCGGCAAGACGGAAAGACCCCGUGAACCUUUACUAUAGCUUGACACUGAACAUUGAGCCUUGAUGUGUAGGAUAGGUGGGAGGCUUUGAAGUGUGGACGCCAGUCUGCAUGGAGCCGACCUUGAAAUACCACCCUUUAAUGUUUGAUGUUCUAACGUUGGCCCGUAAUCCGGGUUGCGGACAGUGUCUGGUGGGUAGUUUGACUGGGGCGGUCUCCUCCUAAAGAGUAACGGAGGAGCACGAAGGUUGGCUAAUCCUGGUCGGACAUCAGGAGGUUAGUGCAAUGGCAUAAGCCAGCUUGACUGCGAGCGUGACGGCGCGAGCAGGUGCGAAAGCAGGUCAUAGUGAUCCGGUGGUUCUGAAUGGAAGGGCCAUCGCUCAACGGAUAAAAGGUACUCCGGGGAUAACAGGCUGAUACCGCCCAAGAGUUCAUAUCGACGGCGGUGUUUGGCACCUCGAUGUCGGCUCAUCACAUCCUGGGGCUGAAGUAGGUCCCAAGGGUAUGGCUGUUCGCCAUUUAAAGUGGUACGCGAGCUGGGUUUAGAACGUCGUGAGACAGUUCGGUCCCUAUCUGCCGUGGGCGCUGGAGAACUGAGGGGGGCUGCUCCUAGUACGAGAGGACCGGAGUGGACGCAUCACUGGUGUUCGGGUUGUCAUGCCAAUGGCACUGCCCGGUAGCUAAAUGCGGAAGAGAUAAGUGCUGAAAGCAUCUAAGCACGAAACUUGCCCCGAGAUGAGUUCUCCCUGACUCCUUGAGRGUCCUGAAGGAACGUUGAAGACGACGACGUUGAUAGGCCGGGUGUGUAAGCGCAGCGAUGCGUUGAGCUAACCGGUACUAAUGAACCGUGAGGCUUAACCUUACAACGCCGAAG